UACGUAGGGGCAAGCGUUGUCCGGAUUUAUUGGGCGUAAAGAGCGUGUAGGCGGCUUGGCAAGUCCGCUGUGAAAACUCGAGGCUCAACCUCGAGAUGUCGGCGGAAACCAUCUGGCUAGAGUCCGGAAGAGGAGAGUGGAAUUCCUGGUGUAGCGGUGAAAUGCGCAGAUAUCAGGAAGAACACCCGUGGCGAAGGCGGCUCUCUGGGACGGUACUGACGCUGAGACGCGAAAGCGUGGGGAGCGAACAGG
rnacentral:rRNA from 1 species